rnacentral:rRNA from 1 species
GACGAACGCUGGCGGCGUGCUUAACACAUGCAAGUCGAACGGAAAGGCCCUGCUUGCAGGGUGCUCGAGUGGCGAACGGGUGAGUAACACGUGGGUGAUCUGCCCCUUACUUUGGGAUAAGCCUGGGAAACUGGGUCUAAUACUGGAUAGGACCAUGCUGUAGGUGGUGUGGUGGAAAGAUUAGUUUCGGUAAGGGAUGAGCUCGCGGCCUAUCAGCUUGUUGGUGGGGUAAUGGCCUACCAAGGCGUCGACGGGUAGCCGGCCUGAGAGGGUGGACGGCCACAUUGGGACUGAGAUACGGCCCAGACUCCUACGGGAGGCAGCAGUGGGGAAUAUUGCACAAUGGGCGCAAGCCUGAUGCAGCGACGCCGCGUGGGGGAUGACGGCCUUCGGGUUGUAAGCUCCUUUCAGCCAUGACGAAGCCCUUGUGGUGACGGUAGUGGUAGAAGAAGCACCGGCUAACUACGUG